GUGAGGAAUAUUGGACAAUGGGCGCAAGCCUGAUCCAGCCAUGCCGCGUGCAGGAAGACGCAUCUAUGGUGUGUAAACUGCUUUUGUACGGGAAGAAACACUCCCUCGUGAGGGAGCUUGACGGUACCGUAAGAAUAAGGAUCGGCUAACUCCGUGCCAGCAGCCGCGGUAAUACGGAGGAUCCAAGCGUUAUCCGGAAUCAUUGGGUUUAAAGGGUCCGUAGGUGGUUUAAUAAGUCAGUGGUGAAAGCCCAUCGCUCAACGAUGGAACGGCCAUUGAUACUGUUAGACUUGAAUUACAAGGAAGUAACUAGAAUAUGUAGUGUAGCGGUGAAAUGCUUAGAUAUUACAUGGAAUACCAAUUGCGAAGGCAGGUUACUACUUGUGGAUUGACGCUGAUGGACGAAAGCGUGGGGAGCGAACAGGAUUAGAUACCCCAGUAGUCC
rnacentral:rRNA from 1 species